GGGGCUGUAGCUCACUGGUACAGUAUUUGCCUACUAUGUGCAAGGUCCUGGGUUCAAUCCCUAGCAGCACCC
rnacentral:tRNA from 1 species